GCUAUUUUGUAGAUGACAUCGCCGAAGUCGAGGAUCGGUAGGAUAGUCAGUUUUACUAGGAUGACCAAGGAAGUUGCACAGAACUUCCCCAACAUCCCUUCCCAAAUUGAUAUGGAACCUUCACAAAAACACAUGGAGCAACUGCAAAAAGAAAUGGCUGAGGAUAUACUAAAAAUAUCUGGAAUGAAGACAAGAGUUCAACAGAAUAAAGAACACAAACUAGAAGUACAGUGUUGUUGAAAAUGUAUGCUGUACCCCAUCCACACUGAAGAGGCUCUGAAAUGUACAUCAACCAGGGAUAAAGAGAAAGUUUACACAAACAUGUACUUAUUUGAAGUGUCUGUUGACAUGUUGGAAAAGAUUAAAGGUCUACACUUUGUUUAA